CGGCAUUUUAGCAGGAAUGACACAAAUUGGAUUUGCUGGCUGUCACCGAGCCCGCUCAGUCAGCCCAUUCCACUGCAAUGAGAUUUACAGGACAAAUCCAAUUGGGACGGCUGUCCUUGGCCCUCAGAGGGUUUCCUGCACGUGGCUGCUGUCUCCUGGUGACCAGGUGAGUGAAGAAUUUUGGGGAGGUGAACAAGGUGGUUGAAUGGGGACAGAUGCUCCACCGUCCCCUUUUGGGGGAUGCCACACCAGGCCCAGCUCACCUCACAGCAGAGAGGCCUUUGUGCCGUGCCAUCCCGAUCCUCCACGAUGGAAAAGGUCAACCUAUGGGUUCUCCUUUCUGGUGGGCUGCCUUGGCCUGUGACAGAGCCAGCUGCUCCCACACUCCCUGUCCUCCACAGCACAGAAGGAAACAGCACAAAGCAGCUUUGUGGAAAAGGAAAACACGAGGAGAUCGCUUACCGGUGUGGGUUUAACAGGUUGCCCAAGCCCCCAAGGACCACACAAGGAUCUCUCAGCCUGCACACCAGAUUUGGGAAAGGUCUUUGACAGGUUUUCUAAUUGCAAAAAAAAUAUCAUAUCGUGGAACUGUAACAAAAUGUAAAUUAUCUAAAAGCAAGUCCUUGCUGGAGUGGCUCAGACUUGUCUCUGUCUCUUCCCCUGCCCCUUCAGCCAUUCUGUGUGUCCAUCAGGGACCAGAGUGAAGGUUCCUGCUGUCCCACCGUUGUCUGUCUGUCCUCCUGCCCUUUGUGUGCUCACACACCCAGGGAAAGGGAAUGGGGAGGAAGGACCCUUCUGCACAGCAGCUCUUGCAGAAUCCCCCUCCCAGGAAUGGAGAGGAUGGCCCCAAAGCAUUGUGAAAUGGGGGCUCUUUUCACUCCAGAAAAACAACAGCAGGCAAGAGACAGACACUGAAAAAGCAGCAGACUGAGACAUGUCCUUAAACACAUUUCUCAGUGCCUUUAAUGAGGGUCUGUGCAGCCAGGGAAUGGCUCCUUUAAUUCCCCCUUUUCUUCUGCCAUUGCUGGCUCUAUUUAGCUAAUUUUGAAUUUUCUGAGUGAUGCUCUUGUGGCAUCAAGAACAUGGUUUCCUUUCUGGAUACUUUGACAACACAUUUUUUAAGUUUCCACCUGAAGUUUGAACUCCUUAAAUUACACAAAUCCAUAGUCAAUCCCUAUUUUGACAGACAGAAACUUGUUUUCUUUCAUGUAAACUACCUAUAAACACUUUGAGAAAGGAAAUGAGAACAUCCAAGAGGUAAAUCCAAAAUAAAAACAUUUAUAUUUAUACA
rnacentral:lncRNA from 1 species